CUUGCAAACAACGUAUAAGAGGUACUACCUGCCCAGUGACACAUGCUUCAACGGCCGCGGUAUUUUAACCGUGCAAAGGUAGCGCAAUCACUUGUCUUUUAAAUAAAGACCUGUAUGAAUGGUAAAACGAAGGCUUAACUGUCUCCUUUUUCAAGUCAAUGAAAUUGAUCUGUUCGUGCAGAAGCGGACAUAUAAAUACAAGACGAGAAGACCCUAUGGAGCUUUAGACAAAAGACCACCCAUGUCAAGAGCUAAAAAUUAAAGCCAAACCGAACAACACCUGGUCCCAGUCUUCUGUUGGGGCGACCACGGGAGAAAAUAAAGCUCCCACGAGGACUAGGGCCCACCGGCCCCAAAACCAAGAAAACCCCCUCUAAGUCUCAGAACAUCUGACCACAAUGAUCCGGCCCCCGCCGAUCAACGAACCAAGUUACCCUAGGGAUAACAGCGCAAUCCCCUUCCAGAGUCCAUAUCGACAAGGGGGUUUACGACCUCGAUGUUGGAUCAGGACCUCCUAAUGGUGCAGCCGCUAUUAAGGGUUCGUUUGUUCAACGAUUAAAGUCCUACGU
rnacentral:rRNA from 1 species